rnacentral:rRNA from 1 species
UACGAGGGGGGCGAGCGUUGUUCGGAAUUAUUGGGCGUAAAGGGUGCGUAGGCGGUUUGGUAAGUCUUAUGUGAAAUCUACAGGCUCAACUUGUAGUCUGCAUGAGAAACUGCCGGGCUUGAGUAUGGGAGAGGUGAGUGGAAUUCCUGGUGUAGCGGUGAAAUGCGUAGAUAUCAGGAGGAACACCAGUGGCGAAGGCGGCGUCCUGGCCUGCGACUGACGCUGUGGCGCGAAAGCUAGGGGAGCGAACGGG